AACGCACAUUGCACCCUCGAGUAUUCUUGGGGGUAUGCCUGUUCGAGCGUCAUUGCAACCAUCAAGCUCAGCUUGGUAUUGGAUGUCACCAGCUGUGGUGCCUCUUAAAAGUAUUGGCAGCAGCAUUCAGCUUCAAGUGUAGUAAUUUUCUUGCUUUGGAGUUUUAAGUGCCUAACUGCUGGAACCCUAAUUUAUAAGGUUGACCUCGGAUCAGGUAGGGAUACCCGCUGAACUUAA
rnacentral:misc_RNA from 1 species